GAUUUAAGUUAUUUGAGAUCGGCUUAUUCAAUUCCUAUUGUUGGUUGUACUUGUGUACCUCCUAAUGCCAUGACUCCAACUGCAAAUGGGUCCCAAGGGAGUGUAGGUUCGACCGUGGUCGAUCUUGGAUUCUUCUCCAGCUCUACAAAUGGAGGAGUCUGGCAAGGCUAAAAGGGAUAGCACUAGAACUCCAUCUCAAGCCUGAAAUCACUUUACAAAAGUAAAAGAUGUGCAUAAAACACAUGGAUGUUAUAGCUUGAAUAUACCUUACACAUGAUUCUUCCUAGAAAUUCGAUGUUGAGAGAAAGCAAGUGAUAUAAUUGGAUCAAAUUUUAGUUGAAAAGGCUUACAGACAGUGCUUCUGAUGUUGAGCUGGCUAAAAGAUUUGCAGAUAUUAACCAAUGAUAUAGUUUACGGAAUGCCAUGACUUCUCCUCUCAUUAGUAAGUUUCAUUCUUCUCAUUUUUGUUGAUUUUUGCCUAUAUAUUUAGCUGUUUCUGAUUUGAUCCUCAGCAAAAAAUGUUUGCGAGGUUUUUGCCUACUCAUAUACAUUAUUUUCCACCACCAGUGUGUAGCGGGAUCUUUUUUUGUCUGUGGUUAAAUGUUGGUUUCUACAUCGAGGAGUUGGGUCAUUGUGAUUUUGAAUCUUGCUACUGAAAAGAGAAUUGCUCAUUUGAAUUAGCUACCUGCAGACAAUUAUUUUGAUACUCAGAUUGUGCCAAGUAGAAACAAGUUGUUUGA